UACAGAGGUCUCAAGCGUUGUUCGGAUUCAUUGGGCGUAAAGGGUGCGUAGGCGGCGCGGUAAGUCAGGUGUGAAAUCUCGGGGCUUAACUCCGAAACUGCAUUCGAUACUACCGUGCUUGAGGACUGGAGAGGAGACUGGAAUUUACGGUGUAGCGGUGAAAUGCGUAGAUAUCGUAAGGAAGACCAGUGGCGAAGGCGGGUCUCUGGACAGUUCCUGACGCUGAGGCACGAAGGCCAGGGGAGCAAACGGG
rnacentral:rRNA from 1 species